CAGCCGCCACGGGAAUACGAAGGGUGCAAGCGUUAAUCGGAAUUACUGGGCGUAAAGCGUGCGUAGGUGGUUGUUUAAGUCUGCUGUGAAAGCCCUGGGCUCAACCUGGGAAUUGCAGUGGAUACUGGGCAACUAGAGUAAGGUAGAGGAUAGUGGAAUUUCAGGUGUAGCAGUGAAAUGCGUAGAGAUCGGAAGGAACACCUGUGGCGAAGGCGACUAUCUGGGCCAUUACUGACACUGAGGCACGAAAGCGUGGGGAGCAAACAGGAUUAGAUACCCGAGUAGUCCCUGUCUCUUAUAC
rnacentral:rRNA from 1 species